GAUGAAGAACGUAGCGAAAUGCGAUACGUAAUGUGAAUUGCAGAAUUCAGUGAAUCAUCGAAUCUUUGAACGCAUAUUGCGCUCUCUGGUAUUCCGGAGAACAUGCUUGUUUGAGUAUCAGUAAACACCUCAACUUUCCAUAUCUUUUUUGAAAUGGGAGUUGGACUUGAGUGAUCCCAACGCUUUUCCUCACCGAAAAGUGGCGGGUUACUUGAAAUGCAGGUGCAGCUGGACUUUUCUCUGAGCUAUAAGCAUAUCUAUUUAGUCUGCCUAAAAAACAGAUUAUUACCUUUGCUGCAGCUAACAUAAAGGAGAUUAGUUCUUGUGCUGACUGAUGCAGGAUUCACAAAGACAGGCUUCGGCCGACUUUGUAAACUCGAUCUCAAAUCAAGUAAGACUACCCGCUGAACUUAAGCAUAUCAUAAGCGGAGGA
rnacentral:misc_RNA from 1 species